rnacentral:lncRNA from 1 species
AGAGCUUAUGAUUACAGCACCAAUGCAAACAAACAGUCAGUGGGGUUCUCAAAUGAACAUGAAUUGCUCAGUGUACGAACCCACACCUCGUUCGAUUGCCCAACCCCCUCCUGUUAGUAGACCGCUGCAGAGAGGAAGCUGGCAGACAGGAAGCACCUCCAGCACUUCUAGUAUGUAAUAAAUAACUUCUUUAAUCUCACACAAUAACAUCUGAUAUAACUGUGAACAGAACCAUGUUUACAAGUAUGGUGUGUUUCUACAAUGUAAUUGUGAAGGUUUGACCUGUGCAGGUAGUAGCAGUCACAGAUUGAGCAUUCAGAGCACCGUCAGCAACAGCAGUGAGGUGGAAGGUGAAUGUGAGGAGCCUCCGGACAUUCCACUUCCUCCACGGCCUACCCGGCCCGUAGUGGAUACUCCACCAGUGCUCCCUCCACCCAGGGUCCCACCACGUGUAAUAGAGAGGAAUCCAGACAUACUAAACGAGCGAUAUGUAUCGACUCCAUCCCGUCCUGUUCAUCAGACGCCUGCGCAAAGGUCCAUGCCACCUCCACCUAUACCGAGACGCACAUGGUGAAGGCCUGCUUCAGCAUGGCUGGCUUUCGUUCUGUUUGACUCUGCACUUUUCUUGUUGAGCCUUUGAGAUCUGUAAGUCUCUUCAAGGUGGAACAGAAACUACUGGCUGUGUCCGAAACUGAAGACGGCUCAUUUCCUCCCCUACACUGUAAAAAAAAUUCUGUAGUUUUUACAAAAUAAUUUUGGCAGCUGUGGUUGCCAGAAUAAUUUUGUAAAAAAUACAGAAAAACUGUAAACACAUUUACGGCCAAAAACUGUAAAUUUCACAGUAAAAAACUGUAAUUUACAAACAAGAAAAUUUGAAUGUAAACCAGUAAAUUCAACAAUGCACACUGCUAUUAAAAUCUGUUUUGUACCUUUAACAUACUGACAACCACCAUAAUAAUGCAGGUGGUAAAAGAGAAAGCCACAUGAAGAAUCAAAGCUCAUCACAAGUAGCUUCGCCACAAGCAGAAGUAUAUACUAAUAUAUAGAAGGUGCACAGAGUCAUUCAUGCAAACACAAAACACCAUCAUGGUAACACACAUGAUACUUAAAUAAUGCAUUAAACUUUCAUUAAACAACAGAAGAUGUAACAUAAAGCCCAAAUAUACAUAACUAAUAACAAAAACUAUUAAAAAAACAUGAUUAUUUAAACAAAAUACCUUAAAAUGUGGAGUGUCAUGCAGGGAAUUCGGGGUAUAUCAGUUUACAGUUUUUGACUGUAAAUUAUACAUUGAUUUGUUAUUUUUCCUUCUAAAAACUGUCAAAUUAAC